rnacentral:rRNA from 1 species
AUUGAACGCUGGCGGCAGGCCUAACACAUGCAAGUCGAACGGUAACAGGAAGCAGCUUGCUGCUUCGCUGACGAGUGGCGGACGGGUGAGUAAUGUCUGGGAAGCUGCCUGAUGGAGGGGGAUAACUACUGGAAACGGUAGCUAAUACCGCAUAAUGUCGCAAGACCAAAGAGGGAGACCUUCGGGCCUCUUGCCAUCGGAUGUGCCCAGAUGGGAUUAGCUUGUUGGUGGGGUAACGGCUCACCAAGGCGACGAUCCCUAGCUGGUCUGAGGGGAUGACCAGCCACACUGGGACUGAGACACGGUCCAGACUCCUACGGGAGGCAGCAGUGGGGAAUAUUGCACAAUGGGCGCAAGCCUGAUGCAGCCAUGCCGCGUGUAUGAAGAAGGCCUUCGGGUUGUAAAGUACUUUCAGCGGGGAGGAAGGGAGUAAAGUUAAUACCUUUGCUCAUUGACGUUACCCGCAGAAGAAGCACCGGCUAACUCCGUG